CUACAAUAAUGGUGAUAUUUUUCAUCAACGCAGUUCACUUAAUGAGUUUUGAUACUUUGGGUCUAAGUGA